ACGUGAGCUGGGUUUAGAC
rnacentral:snRNA from 1 species